rnacentral:rRNA from 1 species
GACGAACGCUGGCGGCGUGCUUAACACAUGCAAGUCGAACGAUGAGAAGAGAAACGCGAACUUCGGUUCAAAUUUUACUUCGGAUUAGUGGCAGACGGGUGAGUAACGCGUGAGCAACCUACCUCUUACAAAGGGAUAGCCUCGGGAAACCGUGAUUAAUACCAUAUGACACAUUCAUAAGGCAUCUUAAGAAUGUUAAAGCUACGGCGGUAAGAGAUGGGCUCGCGUCCCAUUAGCUAGUUGGUGAGGUAACGGCCCACCAAGGCGACGAUGGGUAACCGGCCUGAGAGGGUGAACGGUCACAUUGGAACUGAGACACGGUCCAAACUCCUACGGGAGGCAGCAGUGGGGAAUAUUGCACAAUGGAGGGAACUCUGAUGCAGCGACGCCGCGUGAGCGAUGAAGGAAUUCGUUUCGUAAAGCUCUGUUCUAUGGGAAGAAAAGGACUGUACCAUAGGAGAAAGCCCCGGCUAAAUACGUG